rnacentral:rRNA from 1 species
CCCUUAGAUGUUCUGGGCCGCACGCGCGCUACACUGAUGCAUUCAACGAGCCUAGCCUUGACCGAGAGGUCCGGGUAAUCUUUGGAACUGCAUCGUGAUGGGGCUAGAUUAUUGCAAUUAUUAAUCUUCAACGAGGAAUGCCUAGUAAGCGUGAUUCAUCAAAUCGCGUUGAUUACGUCCCUGCCCUUUGUACACACCGCCCGUCGCUCCUACCGAUUGAGUGUGUUGGUGAGGAGUUUGGAUUGGCCUCGGAAGGUGGUUCGCCACCGUCCGUAGCUGAGAAGUUCUCCAAACCGCCCCACUUAGAGGAAGGAGAAGUCGUAACA